rnacentral:rRNA from 1 species
ACGAUACUACCGGGCUUGCUCGGUAGGAAAGUGGCGCACGGGUGCGUAACGCGUAUGCAACCUACCUUAAUCAGGGGGAUAGCCCGAAGAAAUUCGGAUUAACACCGCAUAAAAUCACAGUACAGCAUUGUACAAUGAUCAAAUAUUUAUAGGAUUAAGAUGGGCAUGCGUGUCAUUAGUUAGUUGGCGAGGUAACGGCUCACCAAGACCACGAUGACUAGGGGAUCUGAGAGGAUGACCCCCCACACUGGUACUGAGACACGGACCAGACUCCUACGGGAGGCAGCAGUAAGGAAUAUUGGUCAAUGGAGGCAACUCUGAACCAGCCAUGCCGCGUGCAGGAAGACAGCCCUCUGGGUCGUAAACUGCUUUUAUUCGGGAAUAAACCUACUUACGUGUAAGUAGCUGAAUGUACCGAAGGAAUAAGGAUCGGCUAACUCCGUGCCAGCAGCCGCGGUAAUACGGAGGAUCCAAGCGUUAUCCGGAUUUAUUGGGUUUAAAGGGUGCGUAGGCGGCUUAUUAAGUCAGGGGUGAAAGACGGUGGCUCAACCAUCGCAGUGCCCUUGAUACUGAUGAGCUUGAAUACACUAGAGGUAGGCGGAAUGUGACAAGUAGCGGUGAAAUGCAUAGAUAUGUCACAGAACACCGAUUGCGAAGGCAGCUUACUAUGGUGUCAUUGACGCUGAGGCACGAAAGCGUGGGGAUCAAACAGGAUUAGAUACCCUGGUAGUCCACGCCCUAAACGAUGAAUACUCGCUGUUAGCGAUACACAGUUAGCGGCUAAGCGAAAGCGUUAAGUAUUCCACCUGGGGAGUACGCCCGCAAGGGUGAAACUCAAAGGAAUUGACGGG